GCCUACGGGGCGCAGCAGUAGGGAAUCUUCCACAAUGGGCGAAAGCCUGAUGGAGCAACGCCGCGUGGGUGAAGAAGGUCUUCGGAUCGUAAAACCCUGUUGUUAGAGAAGAAAAUGCGUGAGAGUAACUGUUCACGUUUCGACGGUAUCUAACCAGAAAGCCCCGGCUAACUACGUGCCAGCAGCCGCGGUAAUACGUAGGGGGCAAGCGUUGUCCGGAAUGACUGGGCGUAAAGGGAGUGUAGGCGGCCUUGUAAGUUAGAUGUGAAAUCCUACGGCUUAACCGUAGAACUGCAUCUAAAACU
rnacentral:rRNA from 1 species